CCGCCUGGAAAAAGAGAAGAAAAAAACGUUUUGGCGGUUAAAUCAGUUGGGAUCCUCGAGGCUGCAGUCGUUCUUCGUUUUCAAGAGGAAUCAUUUCACGUGAAGAAGACAGCUAUAAAGAAUGCAGGAGGAAAGCCAAAGAGGGCAGGACCUGGUCAGACCUCCAGUCAGACUCGGAACUUCUUUAUCAUAGCCAUGCUGAGGGAGGUGCUGACUAAAUUAGAGAUGGUGCUGGACCAACAAACCACUGAGAUUACUUCAACUACAGGAGGUCCAGGUGCAGCCUUUGGAUAUUGAGAAAGGUUUACUGCCCCUGCAAGACCUUCCUCAAUGGCGUAGUCUGGAGCAAAGAAUGCAACAGAGUCCAGAUUACAAGCAAAAACUGUUGAGAUUUUUUUCUUUUUUGUUAACAAUUGCUUGCACAAUUACACAGCUACUAAAAGUGUUUCUUUUUUCUCAAAAGGACACACUCGUACUCAAAGCACAAUAUUCAACACCACUUUGAUAUGAAGGAACAGUUAUGACCUAAUCUUUGGUAGAGUAACUGCUGGAGUAGUGAGAAGCACUGAUACAGGUAAACUGGUUGCGCUUAUUGACGGGGAGGAUGUGCACGACUGCACCUUGCGCAUAUUGAAGAGGGUGAUUGCCAACUCCCUGGCAAAGAACCGCAAUUGGAGGGGAGUCAAUUUCAAGACUUCACUGGCAACUCUCCAACUCGGAGAGGUCGUGAUUGCUGCAGUUCAAAGAAACUUCUUCACAGCUAAUGCUGCUGAGAUGGAGGUCGAGGGGACCAUGAAGAGGUGGCUCUAGCUGGCAUCAGAUCGAGAGUGUGGGCGCAAGAGAAGACUUUUGCAAAAGGAAGGUAUUUAGAGUGUUCUGUGCUUCUUCUUUUUUUGCGCUAUUUGUUAAUUUGUUAAAAUGUUCAUAUUAUAAUCUAUUUUUAAUUGUUUAUAAAAGUCCUUGUUGUUUUUAUGUGGUUGAAUUUGUGUGUGUGUGUGUGUGUGUGUGUGUGUGUGUGUGUGUGUUGGUAGCUGAGUGGGUAUACAGUUGUGGUCAGAAGUUUACAUACCCCUUGCAGAAUCUGCAAAAUCUUAAUACUCUUAACAAAAUAAGAUUGAUCAUAAAAAUCCCAUGUUGUUUUUUAUUUAGUACUGUCCUGAAUAAACUAUUUCACAUAACAGGUGUUUACAUAUAGUACACAAGACAAUAGAUGAAUUUAUAAAAACCACCCCGUUCAAAAGUUUACAUACCCUUGAUUCCUAAUACUGUGCAUCGUUUCCGGGAUGAUCCACGACUGCUUUUAUGUUUUGUGAUAGUUGUUCACGAGUCUUUUGUUUGUUCUGAGCAGUUAAACUGUCCACUGUUCAGGUCCUGCACAUUCUUUGCUUUUCUAGCAUCUUCUAGCAUAUUUGACCCCUUUCCAACAGCAGCUAUAUGAUGUUGAGAUCCGUCUGAGGACACUGAGGGACGCGUACAUGACUAUUACAUCAGGUGCAAACAUUCACUGAUGCUCGAGAAUGCAACACAAUACAUUAAGAGCCAGGGGGUUUAAAAUUUUGAACAGGAUGAUCGGUGUAAAUUGUUAUUUUCUCUUCUGGGAGACAUGUAAGUAUCUUAUUUAGCUUCUGAAGGGCAGUACUACAUGGAAAAAAAUAAGAUCUUUAAACAAAAUAACAAUUUACACCGAUCAUCCUGUUAAAAAAUGUGCACCCCCUGGCUCUUAAUGUAUUGUGUUGCAUUUAUUUGUAAUGUAAGUGGAGGAAUUUAUUUGUGUGCAUGUGUUCGUAGCUGUAUGUGUGUGAGAGAGAAUUGUUUUUGUCUUUAAAUAUACUGUAAAUAUAUUUAGUUGUUAUUUUGUAGGUUUUAAAAGUGUGUUGUUAAUACAUGUUCAUAUUGCAGUGUAUUUGUUAAUGUUUAA